rnacentral:rRNA from 1 species
GACGAACGCUGGCGGCGUGCUUAACACAUGCCAGUCGAACGGAAAGGCCCUGCUUUUGUGGGGUGCUCGAGUGGCGAACGGGUGAGUAACACGUGAGUAACCUGCCCUUGACUUUGGGAUAACUUCAGGAAACUGGGGCUAAUACCGGAUAGGAGCUCCUGCUGCAUGGUGGGGGUUGGAAAGUUUCGGCGGUUGGGGAUGGACUCGCGGCUUAUCAGCUUGUUGGUGGGGUAGUGGCUUACCAAGGCUUUGACGGGUAGCCGGCCUGAGAGGGUGACCGGCCACAUUGGGACUGAGAUACGGCCUAGACUCCUACGGGAGGCAGCAGUGGGGAAUAUUGCACAAUGGGCGGAAGCCUGAUGCAGCAACGCCGCGUGCGGGAUGACGGCCUUCGGGUUGUAAACCGCUUUCGCCUGUGACGAAGCGUGAGUGACGGUAAUGGGUAAAGAAGCACCGGCUAACUACGUG